CGGAGAGGCCCGGCACCUUCGUUCCAAAGGUGCCGGGCCUCUUCGCGAACUCAGCCCAACAGCUCCCGCACCG
rnacentral:tRNA from 1 species